CUCACUCUUGUAUGGUUUACCAUCAUCAUCUUGACCUCAUGUUGAUGGCUUAUGCCACCAUAUUCAUCCUUGUGAGUAUGGUUAUUUCACUCACCAUCUCUCUUAGCCUUGCUCUACAAUUGUCUAAACCACCAUCACCACCAUCAUCUUUUGGCCAAGUUGAUCACUUGAUCAAAGUGCUUCAUUCCUCAACAUUGGCACCAAUGUUUAUUAACACCUCUCUCUUUUCAUUCUUACUUCAUCAAAUCAACAUUACCCAUCUACCUUGGCAUGCUCAUGCAUUGUUGCAUGUGGUCAAUGCCAAUCUUUUCAAUUUUGAAUUCAAAUAAAAAGUUUUAUUCUUCAACUAUACCUUUGGAUCUAUUUUCAUCUUAUGUUUGUCACAACCAAAGUGGUGGGAAUUAUCCUUAGAGUACAUAUCACCUCACACUUCUUUUUAUCUAUAUGAAUCCACUCAUAUUCUUAUCAUCAUUAAAGUCACUCAUUGACGUCAUCUCCUCAACAUCAUGCCUUGGCCUACACACAUGGAUGUUGUGCAUCUCUUUGUUUGUUCACUUAUGUUUGGCAAGGAUGGAGCCGGCCAUUGUCUAUGCAUGGCAAUUUCGGCCAGCCAUUCCUCUCUAUUUUUCUUCCUCUACAAGACUUGCCUCCCAACUACCCCAAUCAAUAAAUGAGCAGCCUCCCAACCCACCCAAUCAAUGAGGAGGCAGCCACCAUCCUCCCUCUUUAUAAGGAGCUUGGCCGGCCACACCUCCUCUCCUUUGCCUCAUUUCUUUUCACUCCCUACUAUUUCCUCCACUCCCUCACACUCUCCUCCUCCACUUCCCCACGAAAAUGGUGCUCCCCUUGCUCCCAUGGCCGGCCAUGGCCAUGGCAAGCCACCAAGAUGAAGCUCUCCCUCUCCCUCAAGCUCCUCCUUACCAUGAGAGCCUCCCUCUCCUUCUUCUCCCCAACCCUAGAUGGUUUUCUCUCCUCUUCCUCUUCCUCCAUUGCUAAGAUUGGAUCUUGAUGCAGGUGCAUGUUCGUCCAAGCAUGGAGAAGCUUGAGCUAUCCUCAGAUCUGAAGUUCUUGAGCAAAAUCCAAAUCGAGUGAUUCAAAGUUCCGCAGAUAGAUACGGAAAAGAUCUACAACUUGGGGUUGGUCUCAUCCUCAAAUUCGUUACGGAUUGUCCGUGGUCAAGAUCUGGUCAGAUCUGACUUUGUCGAAUUAAACCAGGAGCUUGGGAACGAAUCUUUGAGUGAAACAAAUUGGGUAAGAACCACCUAUUCAAUACCUUUCAGAUGCAGCUGACCUCAUAUUUUUGUGAUUGAUGUACGAUUUGUGGUGAAUUAAACUUGU